CACGUAGGGUGCGAGCGUUGUCCGGAAUUAUUGGGCGUAAAGAGCUCGUAGGCGGUGUGUCGCGUCGGCCGUGAAAACCUGCAGCUUAACUGUGGGCUUGCGGUCGAUACGGGCAUCACUGGAGUUCGGCAGGGGAGACUGGAAUUCCUGGUGUAGCGGUGAAAUGCGCAGAUAUCAGGAAGAACACCCGUGGCGAAGGCGGCUCUCUGGGACGGUACUGACGCUGAGACGCGAAAGCGUGGGGGAGCGAACAGG
rnacentral:rRNA from 1 species